AUUGAACGCUGGCGGCAGGCCUAACACAUGCAAGUCGAACGGUAACAGGAAGCAGCUUGCUGCUUUGCUGACGAGUGGCGGACGGGUGUGUAAUGUCUGGGAAACUGCUUGAUGGAGGGGGAUAACUACUGGAAACGGUAGCUAAUACCGCAUAACUUCGCAAGACCAAAGAGGGGGACCUUCGGGCCUCUUUCCAUCGGCUUUGCCCAGAUGGGAUUAGCUAGUAGGUGGGGUAACGGCUCACCUAGGCGACGAUCCCUAGCUGGUCUGAGAGGAUGACCAGCCACACUGGAACUGAGACACGGUCCAGACUCCUACGGGAGGCAGCAGUGGGGAAUAUUGCACAAUGGGCGCAAGCCUGAUGCAGCCAUGCCGCGUGUAUGAAGAAGGCCUUCGGGUUGUAAAGUACUUUCAGCGGGGAGGAAGGGAGUAAAGUUAAUACCUGUGCUCAUUGACGUUACCCGCAGAAGAAGCCCCGGCUAACUCCGUG
rnacentral:rRNA from 1 species